GCUAAGAAUGUGUGCGCUGAUGAUGCCCAGAUUCUUGGGGCUUGGACACGGAGCUUGUGUGAAUAUUAUCUGUGCCUCCGACACACACCGACCGCCAAUGAGAGCCUAGGCCCAUGGGAUUCCCCUGAUUGGAGAAUGGUGAAGGAAGAAGUCUUACCUGGAGGCGAGUGCUCACGGCCAUCUGGUGGUCACCUGGGGAACUGCAGGACCAACUUCCAUCUUGAACGACACUGUAACUCUAUGGAUGAGGGCGUUCUAAGCAACCAACUACUUCAGUGGAAGCAUGGUCACUGAUGUUCUUUGCCCUGAGAAGGCAACAGUACCUAAGACAGAACUUUGAGAAAAACUAGCCAAAAUGUACAAGACCACACCAGCUGUCAUCUUUAUAUUUUGAGUCAGAACCCACUUUGGUGGUGGCACAACUGGCUUGGGCCUGAUUUACAAUUCCUUGGAUUAUGCAAAGAAAAAUGAACCCAAAGAGAGCCUUGCAGAACAUGGGCCGCAUGAGAAGAAAAAGACCUCAAGAAAACAGCAAAUGGCACAGGAGAACAGAAUGAAGAAAGUCAGGUCUCCACACAGGCCAAUGUUGGUGUAGACAAACAGAAGUAGUAAAGAUUCUGCCA